AUACGGAGGACGCGAGCGUUAUCCGGAUUCAUUGGGUUUAAAGGGUGCGCAGGCGGCCGUGCAAGUCAGCGGUGAAAGCCCGGGGCUCAACCCCGGAAGUGCCGUUGAUACUGCAUGGCUGGAAUGCGGUCGAGGCGGGCGGGACGUGGCGUGUAGCGGGGAAAAGCGUAGAUAUGCCACAGAACGCCGAUAGCGGAGGCAGCUCGCCAGGCCUGCAUUGACGCUCGGGCACGAAAGCGUGGGGAUCGAACAGGAUUAGAUACCCUGGUAGUCCACGCCGUAAACGAUGGGCGCUCGUCGUCGGCGGCAGACAGUCGGCGGCCAAGCGAAAGCGAUAAGCGCCCCACCUGGGGAGUACGGUCGCAAGGCUGAAACUCAAAUGAAUUGACGGGG
rnacentral:rRNA from 1 species